GUAUAAGUUUACCAACGCUUUUUCAGGGCGAAGAUAUUGAUUGACAUUCUAUAGACAUACAAUGGUUUAUAAUAAAACAUAGAGACCACCCUAGUUAAAGGGAGUCCCUACAGUUGGUUCACAGGUGUAAGUUGGAUUAAUGAGCUUGGGCGUGCACAUGCCUCGGAAGGCCAGCUACAACCCUCGCCUAUAAUUCGUUAAUGAUCCUUCCGCAGGUUCACCUACGGAAA
rnacentral:misc_RNA from 1 species